AACCUUAUGGACCUGCGGGCGUAUACCUGCGGAAGGAUCAUUACCGAGUUUACAACUCCCAAACCCCUGUGAACAUACCUAUAUGUUGCCUCGGCGGAUCAGCCCGCGCCCCGUAAAACGGGACGGCCCGCCGCAGGAUCCACAAACUCUGUUUUUAUUGUAACUUCUGAGUAACAAAACAAAUAAAUCAAAACUUUUAGCAAUGGAUCU
rnacentral:misc_RNA from 1 species